AAUCCCUUCGAAAGCAUAUACUGUUGUAUAUCCAUGAAAAGGAGCAAGAAAACUAUUAUGUCGAGCAGAUUUGAAAGUGAAAUGUUCGUAGCCUGCGCCGAGUAGUUUCCUGUCUGUCUAGUUUUUAUUUGGGCGUGUCUCUGGUGAAAGUACACUGUGCAUUUGACUAUCCGAACGAUGGGUGACAAUAGUGUAAGGUUAGAACAUUAUGAAAUGCUGAAGGCAUUAUACGACUUCGAUGCCACCUUCGCUAAAACUCUCAGCUUUCGUGAAGGGGAUCAUUUUAUAUUCCAUCAGAGUAAUACAAAGCAAAGAAAUUGGUGGCAAGUAGUGAAUAAUAAGGCUCAGGUUGGAUAUAUUCCAUCUAAUUAUGUCACUACCGUAAAGGUACAGGCACAAUUUUUCAUCGACUUUUUGGAUGGAUCUAUACUAAUUCUACAAUCGGAAAGUAAUAAAAGCGGUGAUACUCAUAAACAAGAUCUGUUAUCCGACUUGCUGACGAGAAGAAAACAAAUAGCGUUAAAUAAGAAACAACAAGCACCGAGUCAGAAAAAACAAGCACCAAUGCCUCCUGAUUUUGGAAAUACUACUCCAACCAAAGAAACUAUUCCUUCUUCUAUAUGUCCUAAUUCAGAGGUAGAUGUCAGACAUAUACAAAGUAAUACUUCUUAUGUAACAGCACAAACGACUCUUCAUGGUAAUUUGGAUCAAGGAGAAGUAUAUAAUACACAGUGUCGACGCCAGUCUGGAACUGAACAACGUAGACAGUCCUUUCCUCGUCAGUCUAGUUCAGAGACAGUUCAAAAAGCUUAUCCUACGACGCCGGAAAUACGUAAGAGUCCUUCGCAGAUUAGUGCACGAACGUCUCCUAAUGGUUCGCCUAUAAAAACUAAUUCCUUGUGUAAUAUAAAUUCCAAAACGGCUUAUCAAUUACUCGACAAAGUUCGUCGAAAUACUCAAUUAAGUUAUGAAAUGUCUAAAGUGGCAGUCAUAGUUGUUGUAUCUGAUUUACAACAUCUGUUACCUGAAAGUGUAAAUCACUAUUUUGAAGCGUUAUUGCAACAAUUAGAAACACCGCUAACAGUAUCAAAAAUGAAUAUCGAAGAAACUUAUGAUGCAAGUAGACUCAAAAUCAUUUUCACUGAACUCACUUCUUGCAAAGAAGAUUCUCAACAAAGAAAUUGGAUGCUUUAUGAGGAUGAAUCUGUUAUAGUAGAAAACAUUACUGAGCUUACAUCUAUACUGACAAAUGCAGAUGCAAAUGUUUCAAGAUACAUUUUAAAACAAGAUCAAUACAAUGGCGUUAACGUAUUAAUUCAGUAUUAUCAAAUGGAGCCUAGAUGGACUAUAAGACAAUUACUGUUGCAAUCAUUUGGUGUAAUGUGUAGUUUAGAUUCUAUCAUUUUAACUAUUAUGUUAAACAGCAUAUUACCAAUGGAAUUAGCAAGAGAUAUGAGGAGUAAUCCAAGAAAUGUACAGAAAUUAAAUUAUUCUUCAUUGCUGCUUAGUAUGAUUUUUUCAAUGGGUGAACCAAUGCCAGUUACACAUUGGGAACAACUAGGAUCUGAUUUUGUCUCGUUCCUCUUGGAUUUGAUAGAAAACCCACCAGACUCUGAUUUGGAAGAUCAAAUUCCUGAUUUAUUCGUCAAUUUAAUAUUAUCAUAUAAUUUGCAAUUUACGAAUUCGGAAAAUCCAUUAAUAAGUGCAUUAAAAGAAAGGACAGUAGCAAAAAUUUUCACUGAAAAAAUCCUCUUUCUUUUUAACAGAGAAGAGGAUCCAGUAAGAAUAUUUGAUCAUGAACCACAACCUCCUCAUUCCGUAUUGAAAUUGUUUAUCGAUCUGUUUAAUAACGACUAUACAGCAGGUCUUUUCUAUACUAACGACGUAAAAGUCUUAAUUGAAAUUAUUUUGAGGCAACUUUUCGAUAUGUAUCCUGGCGAUAAGCGUAGACAAUAUUUAGAAUUGUGUCGUAGAGUAUUACGUACUUCAAAUUAUAAUGAACAUCGGCAUCAAUCCGAAGAUCUUUUAAAAUGUUUUACAAGGAUAUUUUGCGAGGAAACGACUGAGAGUCAAGAGGACCAACGAUUGGUACGUGAAAUUAGCAAUGAAUUUCCACAUUUAUUUAAAAUGUGACCUUUACUUUCAUCCUCCGAUAAUAAAGACUUGGAGGAAGAUGAUUUACAAACUCUCGUAUAAAGCACAAAACUUGAAAGUAGGACUAGGCAGAUAUUUACUCGACUUUCUGGAACGAUACAAAUACCCUCCGUUAUGCUUGAACUGCAGAAGUCGGGACAGUCGGCCGCGACGAGCGAGGCUCCGGGGAUUGCCGCCCGCUAGGACUCUGCCAACACAACAACAACAAAGCCGCUUUCACGAUUCUAAUUCCUAAGCAACUAAUUCUCUAGAAACUAACUUAAGAGACAAUGAAACCUCGAGGUUUUUGUCCCUUUAUAAAUGGGAUCGUUAAACCUAUUGCAUUGCCAUAAACGCGAGCCUCGUGUCUCCUUUAUAUAGGGGAAGGGGGAGGGGGGGGGCUGUUCAUACAUUAUGGAUUUACAAUCUAUAAUGAUAAAUUCAUGCUAAAAAUUAUUUUUUUUAGUCAACAUGCAUCCAUAAAAAAUGUGAUAUAACUUUAAUGAUAUCAGUAAUUUUUAUCUAAUUACAUAUACACACACAUACACAAACACACACAAACACACACACACACACACACUCACACACACACGUGUGUCUGUGUAAUUUAUAAACUUUACUUACUAAUUCAUUGUUUACGUUCUAUGAAAGAAACAAAAGAAAAAUCAAGCAAAUCUUUUUUAAUGACAUCAAAUUGUUUAGGAUUUUAUCAAAUAAUUCCUUUUUCGAUUCACUUUUAACUUAAACGUUUUUUACUCACCUUUACCAAUGAAUCCCCUAAAGUCUAUUCUUUUUCUUUUUGUUUUUUUUUGUUUUUUUUUUGUUUGUUUUUUUGCUUAUUUUUGAUGAUACUCUCUUUAUCAUUCCAAUAAAUUAAAUUAGAUAUAUAUAUUCAUUUUCAUUCUUCGAUGUCGUAAAAAUGUAAUAUAUCGAGGGAAAUAUUUAGAUUUCGUUUCUUUGCAAAGUGCAGGUACUUGUAUGGCAUACAUCUUAUUCGUCACAUUCUUCGUAAAAUCGAGCUCUCGCAAAAAGAAACUCGUUGAAUGUUAUCCCGUAAAAAGCAAAUAUAUUCUCUGCGUGUAACAUUUUUCACAUGUCACUACGAUGCCCUUCCGUUCGUCGUGAAAUAUUAUCACCUACCACUUCUUAUCACUAUGGAGCAUAGAAUAUUUUGCAGAAAUAACUUUGACGACGUUCAAGUCUUUUAUUACGAGAGAGGAGCAAGGAGAGUUUCUCUAUAAACUUUGCAACAAUUCAAAGCUUUUUAUUUUCGAUCGAUUUAAAAUCGGUUUAUAUAUGAACCGUUUGCGGGUCAAAUUUAUUAAUUCGAUUUUAAGAAUUUAAAAAAAAAUUUUAAUAUUAUAUAAAUUAUAUAUAUAUAAUAUAAAGUGAGCCUAAAAAUUAUUAGAUGAUAUAUAAUCUUUUUCAAAACUUUUCGAAUUAAUUUCUUUUAUCGGAUUAUAAGCAUAAAAUUACAUAAAAUUACAAUUACUAGUACUAAUUUCUGAUCCACCCUUUAUAUAAAUAUUACUUUCAUAUUAUGCUUGUAAAUUGUAAAUCGAGCCAGCAGUUUACUUUUCAUAAUAUUUUUAAUUAUAAUUAUUUACUUUGUCCUUCAUUUUUUUACUCGUUUUCCUUCAUAUUUCCGUCACUUUUUAGAUAAUCGUGAAAUAUCAAACGAACGUAACAAGAACGUAGAUUUGUGAAGGAAUAAAGAAAAAAAAAAAAAAAGAUUCUAUAUGUUAUGAUAAAUUAUGGUCCGUCAACAUGAUAUAUAUUUAAAAAGAUGUUUUUUGUUUCAGGAUAAAAACAAUUUGCUCGUUGCUAAAACUUUGAAAUAACGUUCGUUAUGAAAAUUUUUAAUUAUAUUACGAAGCAUGAUGCGCGAUACUGUAAUAUAUCUAACCGUAUAAAAGAUAAUAUAUAUUGAUAAUUAUAUUUAUUUAUUUUUUUUUUUUUUAAAUUAGAUUUUAAAUACGACGAAUUUUUUCAAAUGGUUCGAAGGUAAAACAAAUAAUACGUAAAAUUUUCUCAAAAAUUCACUUUCUAUCGGAAAGAAAAAAUAAUCUUGAAAAAGAUAAUUUACCUAGAUCGUAAAUUUACUUAAAUCAGAAUCUAACGAGAUGAAUUAAGAAUAAAAGAGAAAGAAAUAUAAAAAAGAAUAAAAAGAAAAAAAAAAAAAAGAUACUGCAUAUGUUGCAAAAGAUCAAAGGAUAAGCCUUAUAAAAGCUUACAUUAAAGAAUAGGAUUUAAAAACGACGUAUUCUUUCAAAUUCUUCGAAAGUAGAACGAAUACUUUUCAAAAAAAAAAAAAAAAAAAAAGAAAAGAAAAAAAAGGAAAA